ensembl:snRNA U6 U6 spliceosomal RNA
AUAUAGUUUGAGUUAAUUCAUGUUAUGUUUGAGUUAAUACAGAGAAGAUUAGCAUGGCCCCUGUGAAAGGAUGACACGCAAAUCCGUGAAGUGCUCCAGCUUUUU